rnacentral:lncRNA from 12 species
CAAAGCUUCUAUUAGUAUAUUUAUUUAUUUUUGCAAGUUUUUUUCCCCUCCCAUAAUAACUAAACUAAAACUUCCUUGAGCUUAAUCCUCUUGUGGAAGACAAAAGACAGGUGAUUCCUCCUCUCAGAGUUCUUUGACGUGUGUUAUGUUGUUUGAUACUGAUCAUCCUUUGUGUAAACUUCACUUCCAGUUUAUUCUGCCUUUCUUUAUAGAUCAGCUCUCCUGGAGCCUCCUAAGGCUGAUCUGGCUCUCCACAGCUCCCUGGCAGGAUUGGGGAACCAGCAGGGUUUGAGAGGCAGAACUGACACUGGGCCAGGAGGGGCAGAGCCACAGCAGCUGCUCAUGGAGAGGGAAGAGGGAAAAAAAGGAGGAAAACUAAGAGGCACCAAACACCCUUGCCAAGGUUUUAGGAAGUUACCCAAGGUCACAACAACUGCUCAGGAAGGUUACCAGCUUCUGGAAGGACUGAAGAGCCAAAAAAAUCAGUGCUAGACUGUCAACAGUACCCCCUGUGCUGGCUUUUUAAUCCAGGGAAUAACCAAAGAAAAUAAUCUGAAACAAGGAUGGGAGGGAUAGGAAACCAAAGUCACCCCACACAGACAGCACCCCCAAAUCCAGCAGCAGGUUAAAACAGAGAGUUCAGGAUCAAAGCCAGAGCUGAAGUGACUCUGCCAAAGCUGAAGAGCAUUCCCAAAAUUCCCUGUGCACAGCCAGCAGCUCUCUGACCCACACUCACCUUCUCCAAAGCCUUGAACUGC